rnacentral:lncRNA from 1 species
UGGGAACCCCCCCUUUUUAAAAUGGCUGGAUCCGCCACUGAGCAGCUAGCUGUAGACAACAUAAUACAUCGUAAAUAUUCGGUGAAAUUGUAGACGGACUUCAACAUAUUCAAUUAAAUACACACAACACAACACUAUAAUAAAAAAUAAAAAUCAGGGCGAGCAGGUAUCAGGGCAAACGGUCUCAGGGCGAAACGGAACUAGGGUGAACAGUAACUAGGGC